ensembl:miRNA
UCACAUGUUCAAUUCUGUAAAGGAAGAAGAGGUAAGAAGAAGUGAAGCCCUCUUCUUCCUUUGCAGAGUUGAAUAUGUGG